GUUGUUAGAGUUUAGACUAAUAUUUUAUACUUCUUUUCUAAACGGAAAACGAACAAAGCGACUAUGUCCGCCGCCAGCGUCACAGCACCAUGGCUUCUCCGAAGAGCAUUUCAAGCUUUGGCUUUCUCUCAGCCUCUUUACCCCAUCAACAAAAAGCUUUCUUUCUAUGGAAAUCCCUGCUCUUUCCCCGUUCAAAAUCCUCUGAGAAGUUUAGGGUUAUGUCACAUUGCCCAAGUUAUAAAGGGGGAUAAUGAUGUUUUACUUAGAGGAGUCGGAGAUAAAAGUGCUAUUGAAGAAGUGAAACAUAUUCUUGAAAUGGCUAGACGAGCAGCAACAAGAAGAGAGGUCCUCCAUACAGAUUUUCUAACCCCACCAGUAUUAAAGGAGUCAAUGCAAGUUUUGGAAAAACUUUCAGAUGUUAAAGUGAUUGCUCAGGGUGGAUAUGCUCAGGCUGAGCGUUGCCGUAUUUCUAUUGGACAUUCAGAAUCAGAAGUAUUGACUAGUGAUCCUGAUGUAGUUGCAGCAUUAAAUAUCACAGGAAACUUCAGCUUUCGACCUUGUUCUCAUGGUGAUUUCCUUGGUGCAAUUCUUGGUAAGGGUAUUGCUAGAGAGAAGCUUGGAGAUAUUAUCUUGCAGGGAGAAAACGGAGCUCAUAUUCUGAUUGUUCCAGAACUUGUUGACUUUCUUAUGUCGACACUGGACAAGGUGGCUAAUGUAUCAGUAUCAUGCACACAGAUACCUCUGCAUGCACUUGAAUAUGAGCCACCAAGGACACAGUCAUUCAAAACCACAGAAGCAUCGCUACGGGUUGAUGCUCUAGCUAGUGCAGGGUUUAAGAUUUCAAGAUCUAAACUAGUUAAUUUGAUCAGUAGUGGAGAUCUUCGCAUAAAUUGGAAAACUGUUACAAAAAGUGGAACAAUUCUCAAGACUGGAGAUAUUGUCUCUGUUAGUGGGAAAGGAAGACUAAAGAUUGGAGAAAUAAACACUACAAGGAAGGGAAGGUUUGCUGUUGAACUCAUUCGGUAUUUGUAGGCUUCGGCACAAGGAAUUGUCUAAUGAUCGUUUGAGUUAUACCAGUUGCCGACGUAUUGUUCCCAUUAAACCGGGGGAAUUUUCAGAUAUCGGAAGCCAAACGAGGAUAUUUGUGUGAUGAAGGAAGAAGGAAUCUUACUUGCAAGCUUCCAUUUCAACAUUCGGGGAAUGAAAAAGGGAUUGCAGGUCUCCGAAUGCAUAAUUGAAUGCGUCAAUCGAUAUGAUGUGUGUUUGCAUUUAGAAAAAUCUCAAAUGUAAACGAAUGAAACUGGCAGGUUUUGAAUCUUGAUCUUUGAACUCAAUCAUUUAUCACUUUACCAACAGAUCAUGUGAUUCGUAGGCAACAAUGCAUGUAUAGUUAUUGUUUUAACAAAAACACGCAUGGUUCUUUUUCCUCCUUUUUCCCACCUCAACAGUUCCUGAGCCAGUGGCUCACUGUUACUACGCAUGUAGAGUUCAUGCAUAAGGGAAGGUACAUAACCAUGGAUCAUGGCCCAAGGAACAUAUUAACCGAAUAAAAUGAGGAUUUAUUACACGAAAAAUCCAUGAUCUGAAAAACUUUUCAUAACUCUUUGGAUUUAUGUAUCAUAAAAAAGUGUAAAAAAUAAAAGUUUGAAAAUGAAACAGAAAAAUAUUGCAAAGUAGGGCCCACUUAAAUGGAGUUUCAUACAGUGUGAUGUCUUAGAUGAUACUCAUGAUGAUUAUGAUUAGGUUUCUUGACUUUACAAGAAACACAUAAGGAACAUUAAAAUAAAAUAAAGACAGCUAUAAUGUCUGCAUUGUAUGAAACUAUUCAUGAACCUUGUAACAUGAUUUAUAUGUGGUCCCCUUCCUCUUUUGUCUCCAAUGUCCCUAAUGGAAGAGACCUGUUCUAAUUGGAUUAAAUUAUA